UGGGGAAUUUUCCGCAAUGGGCGAAAGCCUGACGGAGUGACGCCGCGUGGGGGACGAAGGCCUUCGGGUCGUAAACCCCUGUCAGAGGGAGAGAAGGGUGUCGGCGCGAUAACCGCCGGCAUCUGACGGUACCUUCAGAGGAAGCCCCGGCCAACUCUGUGCCAGCAGCCGCGGUAAGACAGAGGGGGCAAGCGUUGCUCGGAAUCACUGGGCGUAAAGGGCGCGUAGGCGGGAUGGCAAGUCAGUCGUGAAAUCUCUCGGCUCAACCGAGAAACGUCGGCUGAUACUGCCGUUCUUGAGGGAUGCAGAGGAGACUGGAAUUCCCGGUGUAGCGGUGAAAUGUGUAGAGAUCGGGAGGAACACCGGUGGCGAAGGCGGGUCUCUGGGCAUCUCCUGACGCUGAGGCGCGAAAGCGUGGGGAGGAAACGGGAUUAGAUACCCAGGUAGUCCACGCUGUAAACGAUGACGACUAGGUGUGGGGUGGUUCAGUCCAUUCCGUGCCGCAGCUAACGCAUUAAGUCGUCCGCCAGGGGAGUACGGCCGCAAGGUUGA
rnacentral:rRNA from 1 species